rnacentral:rRNA from 1 species
UGGGGAAUUCUGGACAAUGGGGAAACCCUGAUCCAGCCAUGCCGCGUGCGGGAAGAAGGCCUUCGGGUUGUAAACCGCUUUUGUCAGGGAAGAAAUCCUCUGGGCUAAUACCUCGGGGGGAUGACGGUACCUGAAGAAUAAGCACCGGCUAACUACGUGCCAGCAGCCGCGGUAAUACGUAGGGUGCGAGCGUUAAUCGGAAUUACUGGGCGUAAAGCGUGCGCAGGCGGUUGUGCAAGACAGGUGUGAAAUCCCCGGGCUUAACCUGGGAACUGCACUUGUGACUGCACGGCUGGAGUACGGCAGAGGGGGAUGGAAUUCCGCGUGUAGCAGUGAAAUGCGUAGAUAUGCGGAGGAACACCGAUGGCGAAGGCAGUCCCCUGGGCCUGUACUGACGCUCAUGCACGAAAGCGUGGGGAGCAAACAGGAUUAGAUACCCUGGUAGUCCACGCCCUAAACGAUGUCAACUGGUUGUUGGGAAGGUUCCUUCUCAGUAACGUAGCUAACGCGUGAAGUUGACCGCCUGGGGAGUACGGCCGCAAGGUUG